CCGCCGCGUCGCCCUCCCUCUCGCUGGCUGCACAGGCCCACGGCCGUGGAGGAGCCGCCGUCGCCGGAGACAGCCCAGAUCGGAACCACGGCAGGUUCACCGCCGCCGCUCCGUCGCCGGCGACGAGCCACCGCGGCUGCCGCCUCCCUCUGAUCUCGACUCACACACACACAGCAGAGUCAGCCCCCCCCCCUUCAAAGGUUUCAAGCCUCAAAUUCAGUCGAACACUUAGUACAUAGGAUUUGAGCAAAAAUCAAAUACUGUAAUUGCUUAAUGAAAUCUGAAAUUCUUUUCUUGAAACUGAACUAGUCUGUAAAUUUCAGUUCAUAUGUGCAUAUGUAAACAUGUUGUGAAAUA